ensembl:lincRNA
GCGGACUUAGAAUCACAGGGAUCAAAAUGGUUAAAAGGUACUGAAGAGAACUGUUCUUUUUCAGGGAAGCAAAGAUGAACGAGUCUACUGAUUACCAAGACGUCGUUCUGAACGACUCAUAUCCAGCAACUAAACCAAAGAAACCCACUCUUUGGAAGCGUCUAAAGCAUCGGUGCAAGAAACAUGACAAGGAGGAGAAGGAUUGUGGCAACAAUAAACAUCCCAUGAAUUUUGAGCCUCAAGUGACGAAUGUGUCGCUUGAGGCAGAGAACAACGAGCCUCAAAAGAGAAAUGGAUCGUUUGAGGAAGAGCCGUUAACUGAUGAAAAAGUGAAGGCCUACCUUCUAUGUCACAGAGAUUUUCUGUUUGAGUACCUUCACUCUCAUUAUAGUGAGCUGUGUGGGUACGUGCAUGAGCAGGUGCCCAUUGAGACACUAAAGAGCUGGCUCGCUGCGAAGAAAGGAUAUUCUCUCAAUCGGAGUGAGGAUGAUGAGAGUGAAGAAAGUGAUGACAGUGAUGAGUCUGAGUCUGAGUCAAAUCAAGACGAGCUCAUUGUUAAGCCUAAAGUGGUAAGCAACACAUUGGAUUACCUUAAUAAAAGGCCUGAUGUUGGCUUAAUGGGUAAGGUGGCUGGCUUAAGAUUUUAGGGUCUUGAGUUUGAGCCCCUGCUGUGCAUUGAAUUAACACCAGGUGGGUUCUGAGGUCGGCAAAAUGAGUACCAGCUUGUGGGUAACAGGGACACUGCAUCAGUGGCACAUUGCCCCCAUCCCAAGAUCUUAAGAAUUCAAAAGGGCAUGUGGUAAGGGAAGAGUAUUGACUGUGGGAGAUUUUAACUUGCCAGGGAUAGAUUGGGUCCAGGAACAGGGAAAGGGCAGAGUGGAUGAGGAUUUCUCAGUUUUAGUCCAGGAUUGCUUUUUAACCCAGUUUGCAGAUCAUGAGGGGGAGUGCAGUGUUAGACCUUUUAAGUAAAGAUCCCAAUAUGGUGGAGGAGGUGGAGGUUGGGGAGCAUUUAGGAGCAAGUGAACAUAACAUUGUGUGUGCAAAGAUU